GAGUCUGUGCAGAGCGGACAGGGAGGGAACCAAGAAAAACUCCGAGUGUGUCCGUUUGUGUCCCGUUAACGAGCCGAUUCUACCGGAAUAAUAAACCCGCGAACACUUUGAUCAGAGCCGCCACAGCACGAGGAGGAGAGGACGCACGCGCUCAGAGAGAACAACCAUCAGAUCAUCCUAACCCUGACGCUCUACAUCAGGUGUUUGAGGGUGUAGUUGCAGAGCAGCAAUCAUGGUGGCGCUAUCGCUGAAGAUCGGCGUGGGGAACGUGGUUAAGACGAUGCAGUUUGAACCUUCCACCAUGGUUUACGACGCCUGCAGGAUCAUCAGGGAGAGAGUCCCCGAGGCCCAGCUGGGACAGCCCAAUGACUACGGUCUGUUUCUGUCUGAUGAAGAUCCAAAGAAAGGGAUCUGGUUAGAGGCUGGGAAAGCUCUGGACUACUACAUGCUGAGGAACGGAGACACUCUGGAGUACAAGAAGAAACAGAGACCUCUGAAGAUCAGGAUGUUGGACGGAACAGUUAAGACCGUCAUGGUGGACGAUUCCAAGAUUGUCAGUGACAUGCUAAUGACCAUCUGUGCCCGGAUAGGUAUCACUAACUAUGACGAGUACUCGUUGGUGCGUGACGUGGGUGAGGAGAAGAAGGAGGAGAUGACGGGCACGCUGAAGAGAGACAAAACUCUGCUGAGAGACGACAAGAAGAUGGAGAAGCUGAAGCAGAAGCUGCACACGGAUGACGAGUUGAACUGGUUGGACCAUGGGCGGACGCUGAGGGAGCAGGGCGUGGAGGAGACCGAGAUGCUGCUGCUCAGGAGGAAGUUCUUCUACUCCGACCAAAACGUAGACUCCAGAGACCCGGUGCAGCUCAACCUGCUCUACGUACAGGCUCGUGAUGACAUCCUGAACGGCUCUCACCCGGUUUCCUUCGAUAAGGCGUGUGAGUUUGCAGGUUAUCAGUGUCAGAUCCAGUUCGGUGACCACAACGAAUCCAAGCACAAGGCCGGUUUCUUAGAUCUGAAGGAGUUUCUGCCCAAAGAGUACAUCAAGAAUAAAGGAGAGAGGAAGAUCUUCCAGGCUCAUAAAAACUCUCAGAACAUGACGGAGAUUGAAGCUAAAGUUAGCUACGUGAAGCUAGCUCGCUCUCUGCAAACAUACGGAGUUUCUUUCUUCCUGGUCAAGGAGAAGAUGAAGGGUAAGAACAAACUGGUUCCUCGCCUCCUCGGCAUCACUAAGGAGUGUGUGAUGCGAGUGGACGAGAAGACGAAGGAGGUGAUCCAGGAGUGGAACCUGACCAACAUCAAACGCUGGGCCGCCUCGCCCAAGAGCUUCACACUGGACUUUGGAGACUAUCAGGACGGUUAUUAUUCAGUUCAGACAACAGAAGGAGAACAGAUCGCUCAGCUGAUCGCCGGAUACAUCGACAUCAUCCUCAAAAAGAAAAAGAGUAAGGAUCAUUUUGGUCUGGAAGGAGACGAGGAGUCGACGAUGCUUGAAGAUUCUGUGUCUCCUAAAAAGUCGACGGUGUUACAGCAGCAGUUUAACCGGGUGGGGAAGGUGGAGACGGGUUCUGUGGCUCUGCCCGCCAUCAUGAGGUCUGGAGCCGGAGGUCCAGAGAGCUUCCAGAUGGGAUCCAUGCCACAGGCCAAACAACACAUCACGAGUGGACAGAUGCACCGAGGACACAUGCCCCCCCUGACGUCGGCCCAGCAGGCUCUCACUGGAACCAUUAACUCCAGUAUGAACGCCGUUCAGGCGGCUCAGGCGUCUCUGGACGACUUCGACACCCUGCCCCCGCUGGGAACAGAUGCCGCUUCUCAAGCGUGGCGUAAAAACAAGAUGGACGAGUCCAAACAUGAGAUCCACUCUCAGGUGGACGCCAUCACAGCAGGCACCGCCUCCAUGGUCAAUCUCACUGCAGGUGACCCUGCAGAGACGGACUACACGGCGGUGGGCUGUGCCGUCACGACCAUCUCGUCUAACCUGACUGAGAUGUCAAAGGGCGUGAAGCUGUUGGCCGCUCUGAUGGACGAUGAAGGAGGAAACGGUCAGCAGCUGCUCGGCGCCGCCAAGAACCUGGCGUGUGCUGUUUCUGACAUGUUAAAGACGGCACAGCCCGCCAACACUGAGCCUCGUCAGAUCCUGCUGCAGGCUGCAGGAAACGUGGGUCAGGCAAGCGGAGAGCUGCUGUCUCACAUCGGAGAGACCGACACUGACCCUCAGUUCCAGUUUGUAGGUAGAGGAUCAGUCAGAGGGAACAGGUGGGGAGUCAGCUCCAACUCUCACAUGACGGACAUGCUAAUGCAGCUAGCUAAAGCAGUGGCUAACGCGGCGGCGGCGCUGGUGCUGAAGGCGAAGAACGUGGCUCAGAAGAGCGAAGACUCCGCCCAGCAGAACAGAGUCAUCGCUGCAGCCACUCAGUGUGCUCUGUCCACGUCUCAGCUGGUCGCCUGCACUCGGGUGGUCGCUCCCACCAUCAGCUCGCCGGUGUGUCAGGAGCAGCUCAUUGAAGCGGGGAAGCUCGUGGCUAAAUCAGUGGAAGGCUGUGUGGAGGCGUCCCAGGGAGCAACCAAUGAUGAGGGGCUCCUGAAGCAGGUGGGCGUGGCCGCCACAGGUGUGACUCAUGCGCUGAACGAGCUGCUGCAGCACAUAAAACAGUACGCCAGCGGCGGACAUCCGAUCGGACGACAUGGAGAAGCCACAGACCGAAUCUUAGACGUCACCGAGAAUAUCUUCAGCUCCAUGGGAGACGCAGGUGAAAUGGUGCGUCAGGCUCGUAUCCUCGCCCAGGCUACUUCUGAUCUGGUCAACGCCAUCAAGAUGGACGCUGAAGGAGAGUCUGACCUGGAGAACUCCAGGAAGCUGCUGUCAGCUGCCAAACUGCUCGCCGACGCAACGGCCAAGAUGGUGGAGGCCGCAAAGGGAGCUGCAGCGAACCCUGAUAGUGAGGAGCAGCAGCAGAAGCUGAGAGAAGCAGCUGAAGGUCUCCGUAUGGCCACCAACGCCGCCGCCCAGAACGCCAUCAAAAAACGACUUGUGAACAAGCUGGAGAACGCAGCCAAACAGGCGGCAGCAGCAGCGACUCAGACGAUCGCUGCAGCUCAACAAGCAGCUUCAUCCACAAAGAACCAGGCAGCACAGCAACAGCUGGUGCAGAGCUGCAAGGUGGUGGCGGAGCAGAUCCCUCAGCUGGUCCAGGGCGUCAGAGGCAGUCAGUCUCAGCCUGACAGUCCCAGUGCUCAGCUCGCUCUCAUCAGCGCCUCACAGAACUUCUUGCAGCCUGGAGCUAAAAUGGUCACGGCCUCUAAGGCCACUGUUCCCACCAUCGGUGACCAGGCUUCAGCCAUGCAGCUCAGUCAGUGUGCUAAGAACCUGGCCGGCGCUCUGGCUGAGCUCCGCACUGCCGCACAGAAGGCUCAGGAGGCUUGCGGCCCGUUGGAGAUCGAUAACGCUCUGUCGACAGUCAGAGAUCUGGAGAGAGACCUGCAGGACGCCAAAGCUUCAGCUGAGGAGGGAAAACUGAAACCACUUCCUGGAGAGACGAUGGAGAGGUGCUCUCAGGAUUUGGGUUCGAGCACUAAAGCUGUGAGCUCGGCCGUCGCUCAGCUGCUGAGUGAGGUCACGCAGGGCAACGAGAACUACACAGGUAUGGCAGCUCGAGACGUGGCUCAGGCUCUGAAGUCGUUGGCGUCGGCAGCUAGAGGGGUCGCCGCUAAUACGGACGACUCUCCGGCUCGGACCGCCAUGUUGGACUGCGCCCGAGACGUCAUGGACAAAUCAGCCAAUCUGAUCGAAGAGACUAAGAGAGCCGUUGCCAAACCAGGAGACGCCGAGAGUCAGCAGAGACUCGCUCAGGUGGCUAAAGCGGUGUCUCAGGCUCUCAACAGGUGUGUGAACUGCCUGCCCGGUCAGAGAGACGUGGACAACGCCAUCAGGACGGUGGGCGAGGCCAGUAAGACUCUGCUCUCUGACUCUUUCCCGUCCAGUGGGCGGAGCUUCCAGGAGGUCCAGGCUCAGCUUAACGAGGUUGCAGCCGGUCUGAACCAAUCAGCUAACGAGGUGGUCCAGGCCUCCAGAGCGACCACACAGGACCUCGCCAGGGCGACCAGCAAGUUCGGGAACGACUUCAGCAACUUCCUGGAGGCGGGAAAAGACAUGGCGGGAACAUCACAGUCUAAGGAGGACCAGACUCAGGUGGUCUCUAACCUGAAGACCAUCUCCAUGUCAUCCAGUAAACUGCUGCUGGCUGCUAAAGCUCUGUCCACUGACCCCGCCUCCCCCAACCUCAAGAACCAGCUCGCUGCUGCAGCCAGGGCAGUGACAGACAGCAUCAAUCAGCUGAUCACGAUGUGCACUCAGCAGGCUCCGGGUCAGAAGGAGUGUGACAACGCUCUGAGGGAGCUUGAGUCGGUGAGAGGGAUGCUGGAGAACCCGACGGAGGCGGUAAACGAGUUGUCGUACUUUGACUGCAUCGACAGUGUGAUGGAGAACUCAAAGGUGUUGGGUGAGUCCAUGGCAGGUAUCUCCCAUCAUGCCAAGAACUCCAACCUGCCGGAGUUUGGAGACUCUGUGAGCGGCGGCUCGAAGGCGCUGUGUGGUCUGACUGAAGCUGCUGCUCAGGCCGCCUACCUGGUGGGCGUGUCCGACCCUAACAGCUCGGCAGGUCAGAAGGGCCUGGUUGACCCGGCUCAGUUCGCCCGGGCAAAUCAGUCCAUCCAGAUGGCGUGUCAGAACCUGGUGGACCCGUCCUGCACACAGUCCCAGGUGCUGUCUGCUGCCACCAUCGUAGCCAAACACACCUCCGCUCUGUGUAACGCCUGCCGCCUCGCCUCCUCCAAGACACCAAACCCUGUUGCUAAGAGACAGUUCGUCCAAUCAGCCAAAGAGGUCGCCAACACCACCGCCAACCUGGUCAAGUCCAUCAAGGCUCUGGACGGGGCCUUUAACCAGGAGAACAGGGAGAAGUGUCGAGCAGCGACUGGUCCUCUGAUUGAAGCUGUUGAUAAUCUUACUGCCUUCGCCUCAAAUCCGGAGUUCUCGAGCAUCCCGGCUCAGAUCAGCCCCGAGGGCCAUGCUGCCAUGGAGCCCAUCGUCAUGGCAGCCAGGACAAUGCUGGAGAGCUCGACUGGUCUGAUCCAGACCGCCCGCUCACUGGCGGUCAACCCUAAAGACCCGCCCAAAUGGUCGGUGCUGGCGGGACACUCCAGGACGGUUUCUGACUCCAUCAAGAAGCUCAUCACCAACAUGAGAGAGAAAGCUCCAGGUCAGAGGGAGUGUGAUGAUGCUAUAGAGGUUUUGAACGGCUGCAUCAGAGAGGUUGACCAGGCUUCACUGGCUGCUAUUAGCCAGCAGCUAACACCCCGAGAGGACAUCUCUAUGGAGACGCUCCACGAGAAGAUGGCGGCGUCCGUCCAUGAGAUCAGUAACCUGAUUGAUCCUGUUGCUGUGGCUGCUGGAUCAGAGGCGUCCCAGCUGGGACACAAGGUGUCUCAGAUGGCGAGUUACUUCGAGCCCCUCAUCAUGGCCGCCAUCGGCACAGCCUCAAAGAUCCUGAGCAGCCAGCAGCAGAUGGCGGUCUUAGACCAGACAAAGACCCUGACGGAGUCCGCUCUGCAGAUGCUCUACACCGCCAAGGAGGCGGGAGGAAACCCCAAGGCGGCUCACAUGCAGGAGGCUCUGGAGGAGUCGGUGCAGAUGAUGAAGGAGGCGGUGGAUGAUCUCGGGGCGACGCUGGCUGAAGCAGCGAGCGCAGCGGGGGCAGUGGGAGGCAUGGUGCACUCUAUCAACGACGCCAUCAAUAAGAUGGAGGACUCACCUGGUCUGGAACCUGAAGGCACCUUCGUGGACUAUCAGACCACCAUGGUGAAGACAGCCAAGGCCAUCGCCGUCACCGUGCAGGAGAUGGUGACCAAAUCAAACACCAACCCUGACGACCUCGGAGGAUUGGCCAACCAUCUGACCAACGAGUUUGGAAAUCUGGCUGACGAGGCCAAAUAUGCCGCCAUGACAGCCGAGAACGAUGAGAUCGGCUCUCACAUCAAGAAGCAGGUGGGCGAGCUGGGAUUCAGCUGCACCGGCCUCGUCACUAAAGCUGGAGCUCUGCAGUGCAGCCCCAACGACUCGUUCACCAAGAAGGAGCUGAUCGAGAGCGCCCGCAAAGUCUCCGAGAAGGUGUCUCAUGUGCUGGCGUCCCUGCAGGCCGGUAACCGUGGCACUCAGGCCUGCAUCACUGCCGCCAGUGCCGUAUCGGGUAUCAUCGCAGACCUCGACACCACCAUCAUGUUCGCCACAGCCGGGACUCUGAACCGAGAGAACGCCGAGACCUUCGCCGACCACAGGGAGCUCAUAUUGAAGACAGCUAAAGCUCUGGUGGAGGACACCAAGCUGCUGGUUUCUGGAGCCGGAGCGAGUCAGGAGAAACUGGCCCAGGCUGCCCAGUCGUCAGUCUGCACCAUCACCAAACUGGCUGAUGUGGUCAAACUGGGAGCUGCCAGUCUGGGAUCAGAGGACCCAGAGACUCAGGUGGUUCUGAUCAAUGCAGUGAAGGACGUGGCUAAGGCUCUGGGGAAUCUGAUCAGCUCGACCAAAGCUGCUGCAGGAAAACCUCAUGAUGACCCGAGCAUGCUACAACUGAAGAGCUCUGCCAAGGUGAUGGUGACCAACGUGACGUCUCUCCUGAAGACGGUGAAGGCCGUCGAGGACGAAGCCACGAAGGGAACGCGCGCUCUGGAGGCGACGAUCGAACACAUCAAGCAGGAGCUGACUGUGUUCAGCAGCUCAGAACCUCCUCCAAAAACAACCACACCUGAGGAGUUCAUCCGCACCACCAAAGGCAUCACCAUGGCAACGGCCAAAGCAGUGGCUGCUGGGAACUCAUGUCGCCAGGAAGACAUCAUCGCCACAGCCAACCUGAGCCGCAGAGCCAUCGCCGACAUGCUGCACUCCUGCAAGGAGGCAGCGUAUCAUCCAGAGGUCAGUAAGGACGUUCAGAUGAGAGCUCUGCGUUAUGGAAACGAGUGUGCUACAGGAUACCUGGGACUGCUGGAGCACGUGCUGGUGAUCAUCCAGAAGCCGUCUCACGACCUAAAGCAGCAGCUCGCCAAUUACUCCAAACGAGUGGCAGGCUCCGUGACCGAGCUGAUCCAGGCCGCCGAGGCCAUGAAAGGCACAGAGUGGGUGGACCCUGAGGACCCCACAGUGAUCGCUGAGAACGAGCUGCUCGGAGCGGCUGCAGCCAUUGAAGCAGCUGCCAAGAAAUUGGAGCAGCUGAGACCCCGAACCAAACCCAAGGAGGCCGAUGAGACGUUGAACUUUGAGGAGCAGAUCCUUGAAGCAGCGAAGUCGAUCGCAGCAGCAACCAGCGCUCUGGUUAAAGCUGCUUCAGCCGCUCAGAGGGAGCUGGUGGCUCAGGGGAAGGUGGGGGCAAUCCAGGCCAAUGCGGUAGAUGAUGGUCAGUGGUCUCAGGGUCUCAUCUCCGCUGCUCGGAUGGUUGCUGCGGCAACUAACAACCUGUGUGAGGCGGCUAACUCUGCGGUGCAGGGACACGCCAGCGAGGAGAAACUCAUCUCCUCUGCCAAACAGGUCGCCGCCUCCACCGCCCAGCUGCUGGUCGCCUGUAAGGUCAAAGCGGACCAGGACUCACAGACCAUGAAGAGACUACAGGCUGCAGGUAACGCGGUGAAGCGAGCGUCUGAUAAUCUGGUGAAAGCAGCUCAGAAAGCAGCGUUUGACGCUCAGGACGACCAGGCGGUGGUGGUGAAGAGUAAGAUGGUGGGAGGCAUCGCACAGGUGAGUCACAGCACAGGUACAGAUGAGUCACAGGUACAGAUGAGUCGCAGGUACAGAUGAGUCACAGGUACAGAUGAGUCAGAGCACAGGUACAGAUGAGUCACAGGAACAGAUGAGUCACAGGUACAGAUGAGUCACAGGAACAGAUGAGUCACAGGUACAGCUGAGUCAGAGUACAGAUAUAGAUGAGUCACAGGUACAGCUGAGUCACAGGUACAGCUGAGUCAGAGUACAGAUACAGAUGAGUCACAGAUACAGGUACAGAUGAGUCAGAGCAUAGGUACAGAUGAGUCACAGGUACAGAUGAGUCACAGGUACAGAUGAGUCACAGGUACAGGUACAGAUGAGUCACAGGAAUAGAUGAGUCACAGGAACAGAUGAGUCACAGGAACAGAUAAGUCACAGGUACAGAUGAGUCAGAGUACAGAUACAGAUGAGUCAGAGCACAGGUACAGAUGAGUCACAGGUACAGGUACAGAUGAGUCACAGGUACAGAUGAG